rnacentral:rRNA from 1 species
GACGAACGCUGGCGGCGUGCUUAACACAUGCAAGUCGAACGGAAAGGCCCUGCUUUUGUGGGGUGCUCGAGUGGCGAACGGGUGGGUAACACGUGAGUAACCUGCCCUUGACUUUGGGAUAACUUCAGGAAACUGGGGCUAAUACCGGAUAGGAGCUCCUGCUGCAUGGUGGGGGUUGGAAAGUUUCGGCGGUUGGGGAUGGACUCGCGGCUUAUCAGCUUGUUGGUGGGGUAGUGGCUUACCAAGGCUUUGACGGGUAGCCGGCCUGAGAGGGUGACCGGCCACAUUGGGACUGAGAUACGGCCCAGACUCCUACGGGAGGCAGCAGUGGGGAAUAUUGCACAACGGGCGGAAGCCUGAUGCAGCAACGCCGCGUGCGGGAUGACGGCCUUCGGGUUGUAAACCGCUUUCGCCUGUGACGAAGCGUGAGUGACGGUAAUGGGUAAAGAAGCACCGGCUAACUACGUG